UAAAACCAAGAACUUUCCCAAGUGCUUGAACUAAAUGAAGACUGCACGGUUUGAGUUCAGAAUCAAGAGGAACUUUGGAGAGUACCAAGGAAAGCCCAACCUCCUUGUUUCACAGCCAGGCAGGUUGAGGGUCACGCAGGGCAUGUGAUUGCCAAAGGUGACCUGGAUGGGAGACUGGGCUGGGCUCAGAGUCCUAGCCGUGGAAAGCCAGGUGUCAGGUGUCAGGCUGUAUUUUGUAUGAUGGUCAAGGCCCAACUGGGGCAAGACCUGCCUGUGUGCACAACCCUGCUCGGCCAUGGGGAUAUAUUUGUAUUCCCUCAUUUCCUCAACUGUAAAAUGGGAAUAUUCACAGGGGCACCUCCUUGUCUUGGUGUAAACAUAUUUAAAACAGGUGCUGCACACAGUACCUGAUUCAUAAAGGCAGUGAGAUUUGCCUGUGUUAAAGGUUGGAAUAGAUCAUCUCAGAAAACAUAACAAUGUGAUUUCCAGAAGAGAAGAAAGAGGCACUGGAGGUCCAGGGGCUGUCAGAUGAAGCCCGCCAUCUCCAUGGUGAGCUGCCCACCCACUCAUUUGAUGAGUCCUAAAUGGGCACGUGCCCUGUUAACCUUCCGGGCAAACGGCUAGACACUUAGACCCAGCACAUGCGACAUCCACACAGUCCGACUGAGAGAAGGCAUUGUGGAGGCUCUGAGUGAGUCCUGGGGGCUUACAGGGGAGUGAGAGUGUGCAGCAGGGACAUCUGGAAGUGCAUUUGAUGUGGGCCCAGGAAGCUUUUCACCCUUGUGCAGCGUGGAAAUUCUCCAAGCAGAGGGGCCAGCCUAAUAGUCCCACAUGCUCAGUACUCACUUGAGAAAUACGUUUUAAAGACCACCAAGUGCCAGGCAGAGUCCUAAAGUGGAGGGAUAGUGAGCCCUUCUGCAGUUCAUACUAAUAACCGAAUCAGCUUUCAUGGCUAAAAAAGACACUCAUUGUUUACCCCUUAGAAAUUCUGGAAGUGGGUAGUCCAGGUCAGGCCGAUUCCAUCCUAGGGGGCCGCCAUCCCCAGCCUGUAGGGUCUGUCUUCAGGCUUGCAACUCGGGGUUGCAAUCCAACUGCUCCCCCACUCUGGCAUUGUUUCCAGUGAUGGGAGUGAAAAAAGCCUUUCCAGGAAGACUCCGCCCCACCCCCCACAGAAUUCCCCUUCCCAUCUCCUGGCCACCCCUAGGUGCAAAGUAUGCAGAGGAGACACAGCAGGCUGUCUGGCCUCUGUGGAUGCAGGUGGAGUUGGAAAUGGUGGCUGCACUGUCAACUCAGAGGGUAAGCCACAUAGGAAAGGCCACAUUCCACCAAGUUCAGUUUGGGCAGUGGUGAGCCUGACCCAGAACAGCAACUGCAGAACCUGAAUGCUGGGGUUGGUGUCAAUGUAACUGGCGGUUCUGGUCAUCAGGAGUGGAAGUGCCUCUGGCCUCCAGAGAGGGCCAGGCAUCUGUGUGGCUCUGCUCAUGCCGAUGAACCAUUUCCUGAGCUCCAGAACAGCACGGAGCAUUUGGGGAUUUCAUAACAAAGGAGCACUUGCCUUCAUGAACCGUCAGACCUCAGAGUGAACUCACUUCUUUGUGGCCUUGUUCUAAUGAAGGAAGAUCAGAGUGCUCUGCAUCACAGAAGCAAUUGACAAAACCCUUCUACAUAAAACCAAGGUGAUGACAUCAUCCAAAUUCAUGAGUAGUGCUGUCUUCCUGCUUCUUGCUACAUGAUGGCCUAGCUGAGAUCAAAGCGUUCUUCAAAAUAGAUUUUAAAAUUUAGAGAAAGUGUCCUUUUUCUUCAAGCUGAAGGAGCAGCAGGACAACUUUUACAUUCUUUGCAUUUCUCCAAUGUGUAUCAUCUGUGCUGUUCCAGAGGCAACGAGGGUCAGGUGCUUUCAGAAAUAUAGUCAGCUCCCUAUAUUCCUAGGUUCCUCAUGCACGGAUCCAACCACCCAAGAAAGAAAGAUAGUCCACAAAACAAGCAAAACAUAAUAUAAACUUAGAAACACAUGAUAAUGACUAUUUCUAUAGCACUUAUUAGGUGUUAGAAGUAAUCUAGAGAUGGAAAAGAAGUGGAAAAACUGUGAGUUCUGAAAGUAUGAGAGGGGAAAAGUCUGCCUCUGAACACAUGUCCCCACUGGGGAACCUGAAAAUCCAUAUCAUAGUAGAAGGAUUUAACCUUACCUAGAGCUGAAAUGGAUUUAAGGAGUUAAGCAAAAUAUAAAAAUAGAAGAAGCUGUGGGAAGAUCCCUGUAGGCACCCCUCGUCCCCAGCUUGAGCCUGGGGAAGUCAUCCCUGGCUUCAUCUUACAGGGGUCCUUGAGGACGGGAGCCAGUGAAAUUGGGGAGGGACCACAGGGUGAAGGAAGCAUCUAGCUGAACUUUGUAAUAAUUUUGAUUAAACACAAAUUUUCCUAAGCAGAAUCUGAGGGUGGGAGGCAAACAGGAAGUGCAGAUAUGAGUACAGAAGCCAUAGCUGACAGUGCAGGCAGGUAGGGAGGGGUGAGACCUGAGAGCCUUGCUUGCUUUCUCAGUAGGGAGGCUUGUAGCUUGGGGCAGGAUCUCAGCCCCGCUGGCUGGUUGCCUGGAUACAAACUUGGUGCUGUUGGUGGGGCAGGGCGGGAGUGAGACCGGCCUUGCUGGCUGCAUGGGAGCUAGGUGAGGCCCAUUACCGCCAGCUUUCCCCCCACUUUCCUGGUGACCUGUAUGAUGCAGCAGAGGCAGCCAUAAUUUCCCUGGGAACAUAACUACACUGGCCUGAGAACUGCCCCUCAUUGCCUACAGUGGCUGCAGCAAGCCCUGCUCAAGUAGAAUCUGAGCUGAGACCUGUCUAGCCCUGCCCCGACCUGAUGACUUUUCUCUACUGGCCCAGCCGAAGACGAAAGACAUAAACUGUUGGGAGCUCUGUGGCCCCACCCAUUGCCUAAGAAAUCCAAGUACUUAUAAAAUACUGGCCAAUUUAGGGCAAGCUUAUAUCCUCCCUAUACUACCAUAGUUGAUGCUCUCUUGAAAGCACCACCUCCUGGCUGGAUGCCAACUAACUCAGGCCUUUACAGCAACUUAUAGCAGAACAACUCUGCUCCAAAGAAGGAGAAAACAACAGCUAAUUCCACUGCCUAUAACACCCUGGCUAAACAGAGAUGAUGAGUCUGUUCACAUGAGAACUUCACUGCUAGUAUAACCAGCAUUCAAGAAAGCCAGGACACUAAAGAAAACCAUAGCCAAGGACUGUCACAGAGCACACUUCACUCCCUUACCACCUCCACUGAAACAGGUGCUGGUGUCCACAGCUGGGAGACCUGAAGAUGGAUCACAUCACAGGACUCUUUUCAGACAUUUCCCCAGCACCAGCCUGGGGCCCUGGAGCCCUUGAGAGGCUACACCCAAAAGGGCAACAGCAAUCACUGGAGUCUGGCUCUCAGGAAGCCCUGUGCUUAAGGAAAGGGGAAGAGUACCAUAUCAAGGGAUCACCCCAUGGGACAAAAGAAUCUGAACUGCAGCCCUUGGGUUCCAGAUCUUCCCACUGAAACAGUCUACCCAAAUGAGAAGGAACCAGAAAAGUAAUUCUGGUAAUAUACAAAACAGGGUUCUAUAACACUCCCAAAAGAUCACACUACCUCUCUAGUAAUGGAUCCAAACCAAGAAUAAAUCUCUAAAUUGCCAAAUAAAAAAUUCAGAAGAUUGAUUAUUAAGCUACUCAAGGAGAUACCAGAGAAAGAAGAAAACCAACUUAAAGAAAAUUUUUAAAAUACAGUAUAUAGAUGAAAAAGUCUCCAGAUAAAUAGAUACCAUAAAGAAAAGAGACCCACAACUUCUGGAAAUGAAAGACGUACUUAGUGAAAUGCCAAAUACACUAGAAAAAUUCAACAGUAGAAUCGAAUGAGUAGAAGAAAGAACUUCAGAACCCAAAGAGAUGGCUUUUGAAUUAACCCAAUCCGACAAAGAAAAAA
rnacentral:lncRNA from 1 species